UAUUUAGCGUUGAUAAGAAUGAGUAAAUAUAGAGUAUGUAUUCAGAGAGGAAGUGGAUGGUGAAAACUUCUUACAUUAUAUAUUGAAGCUAUCUUGGAGCUAUAUUAUCUAAGUGAUGUAUUUUUAAUACAUAAUUAGGGUGGUACCGCGGAAUUUAUGUUUUCGUCCCUUUU
rnacentral:ncRNA from 1 species